rnacentral:rRNA from 1 species
AUGCUUCUCUUGACACUUCAAGAGAACAACAACUCGAUAAGCACAAUGGCAAGCCUCGUCGCCACUCUCCUGCACCUCUUCUCCCUCUUGGUCGUCGCCGCCGCAAAGGCCAUCCGCCGCCUCAUCGGGUGGGCACGUCCGGUGUCCUCCUGCCCGCCGGUGCAGGAAUGCUGGGAGGCAGAGGUGUGCUCCACGGUGCUACCCGUGACGCGGUGCGGUGAGCAGCGUGGAGCGGGGCGCGAACGCUGCGUGAUCUGCCUGGGCGGCAUGGAGGAGGGCGACGAGGCGAGGGUGCUCAGGUGCCAGCAUCUGUUCCACCGCUGCUGCCUCGACUGGUGGCUGGCUGCGCGGCCGGGGGCGACGUGCCCGCUCUGCCGUGGCAAGCUCCUCACGGUCACAGCUGCCAAGCACGCCGGGGAAGAGGAGGAGAGGAGCAUCGAGGGGAUGUGCAUGGUCAUGCUCAUGGCCUACGUGCAUAGCCGUACUUCGGUUCCGGCGGUUUAA